rnacentral:ncRNA from 2 species
GAGGAGUCUCCGGGUGCUGGUCAGCCUUGCUGACCAGAGAAUCGGGAAGGCGGUGCCAAUCCGCCACGUGCCCAGCGCUGUAAGGAGGACGUUCGCCGCAGAAGGCCACUGGUAGGGGAAACCCCGGCCGGGAAGGCGCGGCAACGGUUGAGUCCGAGUCAGAAGACCGGCCAGGAGACGCAAUACGGC